rnacentral:tRNA from 1 species
GGUCCUGUGGCCUAGCGGCGAAGGCAGUUCCCUUACAAGGAAACGAUCGGUGGUUCGAGUCCACCCAGGACUA